rnacentral:rRNA from 2 species
UGUUAGCGGCGGACGGGUGAGUAACACGUGGGUAACCUGCCUGUAAGACUGGGAUAACUCCGGGAAACCGGAGCUAAUACCGGAUAGUUCCUUGAACCGCAUGGUUCAAGGAUGAAAGACGGUUUCGGCUGUCACUUACAGAUGGACCCGCGGCGCAUUAGCUAGUUGGUGGGGUAAUGGCUCACCAAGGCGACGAUGCGUAGCCGACCUGAGAGGGUGAUCGGCCACACUGGGACUGAGACACGGCCCAGACUCCUACGGGAGGCAGCAGUAGGGAAUCUUCCGCAAUGGACGAAAGUCUGACGGAGCAACGCCGCGUGAGUGAUGAAGGUUUUCGGAUCGUAAAGCUCUGUUGUUAGGGAAGAACAAGUGCGAGAGUAACUGCUCGCACCUUGACGGUACCUAACCAGAAAGCCACGGCUAACUACGUGCCAGCAGCCGCGGUAAUACGUAGGUGGCAAGCGUUGUCCGGAAUUAUUGGGCGUAAAGGGCUCGCAGGCGGUUUCUUAAGUCUGAUGUGAAAGCCCCCGGCUCAACCGGGGAGGGUCAUUGGAAACUGGGAAACUUGAGUGCAGAAGAGGAGAGUGGAAUUCCACGUGUAGCGGU